UCAGACCCAACAUUACCAUGGACUGAAACAGUAUUUUAGUAAAUAUGUAGCAUACUGAAAACAGAAACUUCAUAAGGACAAAAAGGGAUGGCCGUUUUAGGUCAUAUUGUACAAGUUUAUGAAUCUUCAGUCCAUAAACAGUUCAAAGAAAAAGGCAAGAUGACAUUAAGUACACUUAAUGAUAACAAAUGUGUAACACAUCAACCAAAAAAUUUCUUUUAAAUAAUCCAGCAAUGCUCGCUGGAAUCGCUGUGGUAAGAUACAGCUCAAGAAGAAAAAAUGUUUAUGACUGAAAAGUUUAAAUACAAGAUUUGGUGUUAGCCAGAUCAAGCAGUAGUUUCAAGAAUUCAGAAUGUUCUUUAAACAGAACCUACACCUACUAGGACCUCAGGGUUAACUGGAUAUCUUAAAACGAUAAAAAUUAAUCAACAAAUUUAGUGUUAACAUAUGUUUUAAUAGAAAAUAUCAGAACAUAUUUAUACAGCUAUACAAGCAUCAUUUUCUACUCGCCAGGAUCUUAGAAUUCUUGUAGGUCACGCCCACAGACACCAAUAUUAGUAUAUUUAGACAUGGUAAAGUGUGGACGCAAGGUUUCAGGUACCCUCUACGCCAGUUGAACAGGGGUAAAUCCGCCGGCUCGGACGGCCAAAAUAAUGGUAACGAAGAAGAAAUACAACUGCCACCCGAGCCCGCGCACUGCUGCAUGUCCGGCUGUCCCAAAUGCGUCUGGAUCACGUAUGCAGAAGAGGUCGAGAAGGUCUACAAAGACGGUGGUAAGAAGGCCAAAAAGGUGAUUCUGUCGAGAAUAAAAGACGUCAACUUGAGAGCGUUUUUGGAAUUGGAACUAAAAAAGGUGGAAGAAAAGACUCGCAAUUCGCCAGAUUGACAUCAGAACACUUGGAAUGUCUUAUCAGCUUUAUAACAAUAAACUAUAAAAAGAA